UGAGGAAUAUUGGGCAAUGCCCGCAAGGGUGACCCAGCAACGCCGCGUGGAGGAUGAAUGUCGUAAGAUUGUAAACUCCUGUUAGAGGGGAAGAAUAGUACCGGUUGGACCGGUAUAUGACUGUACCCUCAGAGAAAGCCCCGGCUAACUACGUGCCAGCAGCCGCGGUAAUACGUAGGGGGCAAGCGUUGUCCGGAUUUACUGGGUGUAAAGGGCGCGCAGGCGGGAUAAAAAGUCAGUGGUGAAAUCCUACAGCUUAACUGUAGAACUGCCUUUGAUACUUUUAUUCUUGCGUUCGGGAGAGAGAGACGGAAUUCCAGGUGUAGUGGUGAAAUACGUAGAUAUCUGGAAGAACACCAGUUGCGAAGGCGGUCUCUUGGUCCGACACUGACGCUGAGGCGCGAAAGCGUGGGGAGCAAACA
rnacentral:rRNA from 1 species